AGGAUGAACGCUGGCGGCGUGCCUAACACAUGCAAGUCGAACGUCCUGUCUCGCAAGAGGCAGGGAGUGGCGGACGGGUGAGUACCACGUGGGUUAUCUACCGUGAGGUGAGGAAUACCGGCGAGAAAUCGCCGACAAGACCGCAUAGCCUCGGUGCAAGCCGAGGAAAGCUUUCUCGAGAGAGGGAGCGCCACACGAGGAGCCUGCGCCCGAUUAGCUAGCUGGUGGAGUAACGGUUCACCAGGGCGACGAUCGGUAGCUGGUCUGAGAGGACGAUCAGCCACACUGGGAUUGAGAACGGCCCAGACUCCUACGGGGGCAGCAGUGAGGAAUUUUCGUCAAUGGGGGCAACCCUGAACGAGCAACGCCGCGUGCAGGAAGAAGGUUUCGGAUCGUAAACUGCUUUUCUCGGGGAAGAGAACGGACGGUACCCGAGGAAUCAGCCCCGGCUAACUACGUGCCAGCAGCCGC
rnacentral:rRNA from 1 species